GAGUGUUAAAACUACAGUGUUAAAAGACAGUACCUGGUAAGACAGACAUUUUUGGUGAUCUCAUUUAGUUCUGCUUUGAAGUUUGACUACAAUGCGCUGGAAAUCGAUGCUCUUGCCUAACCUGUUGCCAUAUGUAAAAACUGAAAAAAUUAACAUUUCAUCUGCUGCACAUGCAAAUUAUCCAACUGCAAACUAAGAUAAGACCUGUCAAAAACUGUAUAUAGUUUUAUCUAAUAACAGUUUGACAGACCCACAGAACAGUCCAUAAAGGGCAGGAUUGGUAGAAGGAUGGGGUUAUGAAGAGGAUUAUAUGGGAGGGCACAGUACUUUGAUUCAAAUCCAGUCAGUAGGAAAAAAUCCUUUCAUUAAACAUUUGUUAUUAAAGAGGUUAACAGAGCAAUCAGCAGCUAUAUAAUUAUUUUUCAUCUUGCUAGAUAUUAACCUUUAUAUUUGCACAUUGAAUUUAAGGGAAUGGGCAGUGAAAUUGUGCUCUAAAUCAUUAAGGUUGUAAUUGUUUAGAAUGACUUAUUUUUCUCUGCAAAGCUACUGAAGUUUAUAGCAUGACAUGACAUCGCUGUAAUGUUCUCCCCAGCAGGUGCACUGUGGGCAGCGCUAAUAGUGCGACAUCACAGCCAGCUGCAUUUUGGCUGUCGGGCAGCCAUGGAAGCGAAUCGCCUGGAGUCCCUGAGCAGGUGGAACAGGUUUACGGCCGUGCCCCAGCGAGUCCAGGGUUGCAGGGGGGCUGUGAAACUAUCUUGGCAAGCAAAGGGCAAGGCAGGAACCUGCUGCAGAGGACACAUCUGAAGAAAACCCUCAUGAACACAAGGGGAACAUACAAACCUCCUCACAGACAGAACCCCAGCUCAGGAAUUGGACCCACUGCUGCACUGCUAGCAACUGUCACCAUGCUGCUUCAUUUGCAGACUUACUUGAGUGCUCAAGAUAUGCUGUUUACGAAAUGGUCCGAAAAUAGUGAAGACUAAGGUGCAGAUGGAAGGACUAAGUUCUCAUGAAACUGACCAACAAGAAUGACGCUCACCUCCAGGCACCCAGAAUCGACUUUUCGAUUAAGUUUCUGUCCCAGGGGAGUUCUCCAGACAUCAGCCACUAAUCAACAGAUUUUCCCCCAUCUGCACCCUGUUGUGAAAACCCAGAUCAAGCUUUACAGAACACACACAAAAUGAAUUGAGUUGCCUUUCUGGAAAGUCCAGCUCCACGUUCUUCGGAACAGUUCAAGCCGAUCUGCCCUGAUUCUCAGUUUGCAUGUCACACUUGAAUCAU